rnacentral:lncRNA from 1 species
AAGAUGAUUACAGAUAGUGUAUGUACCCUGUAUCACGUUUGGGUUGGCUUCUGUGUCUUACUAAGUCAUAUUGUAAGCUCUGCCAUGGAUAGAAGAUCUGGCCUAGUUCUGAUUCCUUGGGCACUCUCUCGCGUAGUGCUGAACACUCCCACAUAUAUGAGAAGUAUUGUUGAGGCGAUAACAGGGUCGGUCCCCAUGAUCAUUGCCACAGUGCUGAUAAGUCCUACCGCGUCCUGUUACCGGAAUCUAAGGAGGAGCCUGAGCCAUUGGCCUAGGUCUCUUGUUCUGCUGAACAGGUGCAGUGGGUGAUGCUCUGCGGUGUGAAACCGGGGGCCUGAGAUUCCCAACUACUAGAGGAAAAAUGCGAAAGUUCCUCUCUACUAGCUGUGCCUUGGCCAGAACGGGUAAGUAAGUGUUGAGCUCGAACACAUACAGCUGCUGUCUAAUCU